GGAAGUUCUUUGGAAUCAGCAACUAAGCGCUGCUGGCGGCGCGCCGGCCCGCGCAGCGACGCCUCUC
rnacentral:sRNA from 1 species